ensembl:lncRNA
UAUUUAUUGAUCUCACCAUGGAAUCUAGUAUAACGGUGGUUAAUCAGACAGUAUGCUUCCUACACUUUCGACUUUCGAUCAUAAAUAGACACAGCUGCCAUGGAAACUCACAAUUGAAGAAUUACCAACAAGAAGGUGGAAAAGCAGAGAACAAGGCCAUUUCUCUCCUCUUCAAAAUCCUGGAGGCUGGCCUUGCCCACUUUCAAAUGGGUUUCCAAACAACAGACGGUGUUCCACUCAGUGGUAUCCUGGAAAUGUUCAACAGCUGGCUCCCUGGGAAAACAAAACAAAACAGCAAACAAGUCUUGACAUGCAGCACUUGCCAGUUCCCGUGGUGUCAUAUUCCCAUGUUGGCUAAUUUUAAGCUUCGGGUCUGACCUCAUUGAGCCGGGAAGAGAUGUGCUUAGCAAGCUUCUGCUGCAGGAUAGCUGUUUCACAUGAGGAAUACAGCAAUUAACAGCAUAGUGACCCUGGAAAGGAAUGAACAUUGGGAUCUUAGAUAUGGUCUCCUGAGAUUCAUGGUCCUUCAAGAUCCCCAAGUGCUGUGAACAGAUGAACAUGGAGGAUGAUUUCUUUCUAACAAAAGGACCACAAUUAUUACCCUCAUGCCUGCUCUGUUAUGCAGAGAACAAGCUUGAUAAGAGAUAUCCUCUUUCCCCCUUAUUUAUCUGGGAGUAUUGAAAAACUACAGCAUCCCAGAAGGAAAUCCUGCUAGAAAGCUCCACUUUCAACUGGUGACCAAUGAGCUGUAUCACCAGGGGUCACCAGUGGCCAGCAUCUAGAGGAGGUUCCAUUUUGCUCUCAUGGCAUCCAGUCCAUCAGGUACUAAAGAUACUGGAGAAAAAUCUUCCUUGUGGAAGUAAAGCUUUUGGCCUUAAAACCUUGAAGACAAACUAAAACAACUUGGUUUGACUUGGAUGUGCUUCUUUUCAUAAUAAUGAUCAUAAGGGCUGAAACUUUGGUGCAGUGUAUUCUCCUAUAGCCUGUAGCCAGGACACUGGAAUCAGUCAUAUGAAUGUAUGUGCUGGAAGUAUUGUGAGCAUGUAGUAUGGGGGCCACCAGAGGAAAGGAAACUGAGAGCUGUGAAGACUUCUUAUUAGGCAGUCACUGCACCUGCCUGGUUACUUGAUUCCUACGGAUAGGAAACAAUCGAAGAUCACAGUCCCAUGAGGACACAUCUCUUGGGAAAUUCAACACUACUAAGGAAUGAUAUCACUUUUUUUUUUGGUACUGGGGAUGGAACCCAGGACCUUGUGCUUGCGAAGCAGGUGCCGGAACCACUGAGCUAAAUCCCCGGCCCAAUAUCACUUUUUAAAAUCAUACCUGGAUUAAAUCCCCAGUGCUAACUGGGUGAUAAUGGCACCCAUCAAAUGGGGCAGUCAGGAGGACAAAUGAGAUACUGUGUCUAAAGUGCUCAGUCAGUGCUCUACAGAAAGUUCCCCAUGUGUGUGUUAGCUAUCACAGUUGUCAGUAGGAAUUUUCAGUUAUGUUUUUUUUCUCCCAAGAUGAAUCAGUCAUUUAUAGCAAACAUGUGGUAGACUGUAUUUUCAGAAAUGACUAUAGCAGUACUUCUAUACCUACCUGCUAUUCUGGACACCCGGCCAGAGAAGCCAUGUGGAGAUGACAGUGGGGUAGAAAGGGAAUGUGCAGAGAUGCCCUCUUUGAAGAGGCGCUUUUACACCGAGGCCUGCAGGAGGAAAAGAGCUACAAUGUGAAUGGUGUGAAGGGACAGCCCUGGUAGGGACUAAUGUAUUCAAAGAUCCUUACACACAGAAGGGACAUCACGUUUUAGCUCAAUGCCAGAGUUGUGUUAAGCAAUUCUUUUGUAACUGGUGGAAAUUUUUGAUAUGAAGGCCUAGAAAAACAUUAAGAAAACAUGAAGAAAUCUGUUAUCUUUUCAACAAUUAAGGCAUGAGACUUUUUUUUUUUAUCAUCUCCUUCGGGUUUCCUUUUCCUCUGUUCCUCCUUCUCAGUAUUUUUACAUCUGUGAUGUGUAUGGCUACUAGAAGGGGUAUUUUUUAAAAUUUGUUUUAAGUCUCAGUUUUUUUAAAGUAAUAUGCCAGAUACUGGAGAAAACAAAACAAAAUACUGUUGUUUUCAGUACAUUCAAGAAAAACAUACCAUUGACUAAGAUGUUUCUAUAAAGUAAUAUUUAAAUAAUAUAUGAUUCACUAAGAUCCAAACCAUACAGCAUCCUUUUAGAAUUGGUUCAUACAUUCACUACACAUCUGUUAUAUUUCUACAGUGUGGCCAGCCUGGUGCUUAGCACUAGAAAGUAUCUCUGCUCUCUUGAGAUGUUUACAAUGUAGAAUUAAGACCAUGAUAAAAUAUGGGCAAGUAAACAAACAGCAAUUAUAUAGUUAUAAUAUUAUAAAAGUUAUAAGGGGAAGGUACUGGUGCUGAAGCAUCUGAUAUGGAUUUGGGACAAGAUCAGGGAUUAUUUUAAUGUGAAUACUACUUUUGGAUAUAAUAAUUUCAGUGAAAAUUUUUAUUUUGUAGCUUGUCCAUGAUCAUAUUUAAUCUUAAAGAAUUGUGAAAAGUAAUACAAAUAACAUUUGGUUGAUCUGCUGUUUGGAGAUUUUCUAUGAGAAGGUGCUCAGCACAAAGUUUUUAAAGUAUGCUUUAAUUAUUAGUUUUAUUUAUUUCUUCUGUUUUUCUUUGUAGAUAUAAAAAGUUCAUUACGUUCGGCACUUAGGAUAUUGACAAAAACGCAAACACCACAAAAAGCCCUCUGGUGGGGUAGUAAUAGAGACUUUCAGGGGCAUAUUUUUGAAGAGAUUUUAAAAGCAGAGUGCACUCCUUGUAAGAAGAAUCUUGUUAUGAUAACUACCCCUUAUUCCAAAUGCCAAGACUGGGGCAUCAAUGAGUGUCUCUUUCUCAAACCAAAUAAAUCAUUAAGUAUUGCCGAAUCCAAGCACGUGAGCUAAUGCAGACAGAGUCAUCAAAUUCAUUACCAGUUAAUAUGUACUAAAUUUUCAUUGUGAGAUUGUAUUCAAUUACUUAAGAGAAUUUAUAAAAGUACUCAGAGAAGCAAAAGGAAAAAAUUAAAACAGAAAACUUACCUCAUUGAAUUCUUGAGACUAAAAACUCUAGAUGAGAAUGUGCUGGGCAGUCUUAAAAUAAUGAUAGAGAAACAGAAAACAAUCAUUGAGCAUUAGUAGAUUUAGAAGAGGCAGUAAUGGCAAUCUUGUCCAAAUAUUAUUACAGCUAAGAACACUGAGGCAAAGAACUUUAAUAACUCCAGUUUGGCAGGACUUCAGCCACAGCCACUGUCUCCUGACUAUACCAUGCCUUUCUACAAGACCAUACUCCCUCAUUUGUUCACAUGAGAUAGUGUAGACAACCCCAAAGGGAAACUUUAGCAAGCGAAGGUGCAUAUGCUUUUGUGAGUGAGGAAAAAAGAUAUUUUGAAGAUGGUUCCUUCCAAUAAGAGUCAGAGCAAUGUAUUUUCAAUCCCAAGGGUUAAAUGAAACUGCAAGGUGACAGGGUUUGGGGAAAAUGGGACAAGACCUGUGAGAAGUAGAGACAGUGGUCAUCUAUGAAUUACACAAGGUAUACUGAAACUAGGUAGAUAGUUACUUUCCAUAUGUUUGUUGUCUGUCUGGUUCAGUAUUUCCUCUUAACACACAGAAUGGCACCUGGUAUGUAGUAGCUGUUCAGUAAUAUUUACCUAAUACAUUAUUGGUAAUGGGAUUAAGAGCCCAGAUCAAAAGAGCAGAAAAUAAAGUCUCUAGGAGUUUGGAAAGAAAGUAAUCACUAUAGGCAUAAUCACUGGGGAACACUUCACUGAAAAUGAGUGUUUGAGAUGGUAAGAAUGGGAUCCCUGAGAAUAUGCAUAAAGUAGAAAGCAUUCAGGUUGGGGGCAGAAGGAGAACAGACAAAGGCAAAAGGGGGGCAUUAGUAAGGCAUGCUCCUGGAACAAUGAAAAGAUAAGUUGACUUUUAUUUCUUUUCACUUGGAACCCUAUGAAUUGUGUUAUUUAAAAAUUUAGUGAGGGGCUGGGGAUUUAGCUCAAUGGUUCUGGCACCUGCCUUGCAAGUGCAAGGUCCUGAGUUUGAUCCCUGGUCCCCAAAAUAAAUAAACAAACAAAUAAAUAAAUAAAUAAAUAAAUAAAUAAAUAAAUAUUUUUAAAAGGGCAGGGGAUUUAGCUCAAUGGUUCCACCACCUGCCUCACAACCACAAGGACCCGAGUUCAAUCCCCGUUACCAAAAAAUAAAAAAUUUAGUGAGAUUUUGUAGGGCCCUAAUUAGGUCUAGACUGGCCCUAAAGUGAGAAAUAGCCUCUGAAGCUCAGGGACUUUGCCACUGACAGUGAUUCCUUUGCACCUCACUGAAGCUGAUCUCCUAGGGCCAUGGCAUUCAGAGGAGAUAGGAGGCUAAGGAGGCCUGAGCCACCAGGAGGACCGAGUCUUCCUGUUCAGUGCUGGUCUCCUAUGCAGCCCAUCUCCUGAUGCCAUCUCUGAUCCCAUCUCAGUGCUGGGUCUUGUGCCACAGAUACACAAACUUGAAUAAAGAAAAAACUAUUAGAAAUUGGAGGAAUUUCUGAUAACCCCUGUGGAUUAGAUAGAAUACGAUUUCAAGAUAAAAUCAUAAGCGAUGGAAGAAAAGUUGAAAUAGUUUUGAAGAAGAUGAAGAUUUGGGGCAAUUUUUCUAAGAAUUAAAUGCUCUUAGACUGUAUGGUGAUAUCUGUUCACAUAUUCCUUAAAUGUUGCACAUUCCUGACACUAAGGUAUUUUUGACAAGGGUGAAAUGAUAGAAGGUGAGAAAACUGUCUUUAAAUAUUGUUUAUAUACUCCCUGGGUGCUUGUUAAGAACCUGUGUCAUCCACACUGGGAUCAGUACAAUUUAGAGUUAGAUCUCUAUCUUUAGAGAGAAUAACAGUUGUUUCCUGCUGUGGUUCCUUUUCCUUACCAUGUACAGGCCAUGGCUAUAUGGAAGCAAUGGAAAUAUCUCUAUUUAAAAACUCUAGACUGGUUUCAGAGCAAAAUUACUGUGACUGAGCUACAACUGGAUGCAUCCACUCAUUUAGCAGUUGCCUCCUGCCUUUGAAACAUCAAGUAUGACAUAAAUCAAGAUGUACAUUAACAAAGAUGAUAUAAAACAUCCAUGAAUGCUAAAUAAGGAGAAAUCACAUUAGUCAUCCAGCAAACAACGUGUAUGAUAAUUCAGAUAAAGGCAGAAGGUGUCUAGGAACUCAAAGAGACAAAAGAGCUGAAAUAGACUUUAAUCCCAGUAUAAACACUGUAUGAUAAUGUACUGAAGGAAAUUUCUUUCUCCCCCCACCCUUGCUUUCUUCCUCUCUUUCUUAGCAGAUAGGGAAUAUUUAGACAAGUGGAGUGAUGCUAUUUCUAUUAAGAUAGAUUCUUCUUGAAAAGGAAAAUAAUUUCUCCUUGAUGUACAUAAUUUCUAGCAAAUGUCUCUGAGUAUCCGAGAAGUCACACGCUGCCCUUGUAGGGCCCACUGGGACAAUUUGCUGUUUAUUUCGGGACACAAAUUCUACAUCUAAAAUUCUACACUAUGGUCAGUUUUAAAGAAAGAAGAGAACCCUUAAAUAUCUUAAUGGAAAUGGGAAUCUUUAUCUUAGACAUGGUCAUUGUAAGUACUUUUUGGCAAAUAACUUAUGUGCCAACUAUAUACUAUUCCUAGCUAAUGUAUUUCUACUAUAGCAGAAAAUAAUAACCAAAGAUGUUUGGGUAUGUGCAUCAUGGGGUAUUAAGAGAAAUUUCCCAAUUAUGCCUUUCUGGUCCCUGGACAAGGGCACCUGAGGUUGAUCAAGUGGCCUGGAAAUCACAGAUGCAGCGCUGUGGUGAUACAAAUCAGGCCUCUUUUCUUUGUCGUCAAACACCUUAAGCCCCCUUAUUCCAACAGGAAUUGUACUUGAAGUUGGCAGUUUGUUUCAUCUGUAUAAAAAUAAGAAUAUUUUCAUUAUUCUUGGUGUAUCCAUCUCUUCUUUUCCUUGCUCCCAUUAACAAUAAAAAUCCAUGCGGUUUUCAGCCAUUCUCAUUUUUCUUGCGAUAAACCAUGUGUGACAUGGAGACCUUGAAGCUGGGCAUUCUGGCCACGAUGCUCAAUAGACUGUGCAGAGAGCUUUCUCAGAGGUAACCACUGUAAAAAAUCAGCUCCACUGUUGUUCCUCUCUCUUAUGUUUUUCUCAUGCUCCUUUUUAUACAUCUAGUGUAAUGUGAGUUCACAUGAAUUCAGCCAAAGGCCUUUUGCCUGACAACAGAAAAAAUGUCUAUGGCUCUCACGGGUGCUGGAGUUGUCCUUUCUCUUAAUUCCAGCUGCUUCUUUUGCAAUAACAAAUUGGGGUACUUGCUAGAAGGAAAACGUUCUCACUGCAGAACUACUUUGUUCCUCUUUCAUGGAGUCUUUUCUUACAGGCUUCUGGAGCCGUUUGGAGGCCCUCGUCCCUAUGAGUUAUAAUUGAUGUAGUAAAAUGAAAAAAGAAUCAGAUGAAAAAGACUUGUUUCCACCAAUUGGUUUCAUAAAUAAAUAAGAACACAUCGUUUUAGUCUUUG